rnacentral:rRNA from 1 species
UACGUAGGGGGCUAGCGUUGUCCGGAAUCAUUGGGCGUAAAGAGCGUGUAGGCGGUCCGGUAAGUCCGCUGUGAAAGUCGGGGGCUCAACCCUCGAAUGCCGGUGGAUACUGUCGGGCUAGAGUGCGGAAGAGGCGAGUGGAAUUCCUGGUGUAGCGGUGAAAUGCGUAGAGAUGUGGAGGAACACCGAUGGCGAAGGCAGCCUCCUGGGCCAACACUGACGCUCAUGCACGAAAGCGUGGGGAGCAAACAGG